CACGUAGGCGGCUUUUUAAGUCAGAGGUGAAAUCCUGGAGCUCAACUCCAGAACUGCCUUUGAUACUGAGAAGCUUGAGUCCGGGAGAGGUGAGUGGAACUGCGAGUGUAGAGGUGAAAUUCGUAGAUAUUCGCAAGAACACCAGUGGCGAAGGCGGCUCACUGGCCCGGUACUGACGCUGAGGUGCGAAAGCGUGGGAGCAACA
rnacentral:rRNA from 1 species